rnacentral:rRNA from 1 species
CACUCCUGCGGGAGGCAGCAGUGGGGAAUUUUACGCAAUGGGGGAAACCCUGACGUAGCGACACCGCGUGAGCGAAGAAGCCCUUUGGGGUGUAAAGCUCUGUCAGCUGGAACGAAAACAAUGACGGUACCAGCAGAGGAAGCAUCGGCUAACUACGUGCCAGCAGCCGCGGUAAGACGUAGGAUGCGAGCGUUGUCCGGAUUUAUUGGGCGUAAAGAGUUCGUAGGUGGUUUGUUAAGUUUGGUGUUAAAGAUCGGGGCUCAACCCUGGGACUGCACUGAAUACUGGCAGACUCGAGUGUGGUAGAGGCUAGUGGAAUUCCCAGUGUAGCGGUGAAAUGCGUAGAUAUUGGGAAGAACACCGGUGGCGUAGGCGACUAGCUGGGCCAUAACUGACGCUGAGGAACGAAAGCCAGGGGAGCGAAUGGGAUUAGAAACCCUAGUAGUCC